GGACAUCUUAACAUGGAAGGGGAGAAUUUUCAUGGAGUCCCACCACUAGACAGCGAACUACAACUACUGAUUGCUGAGAGAAGGAGAGUUAGCCUCUUCCGAGUUGGAACAGACUGAAAAUGAAAUGAAGUUGGGCCCACUUCCCUAGAAGUAAAGAAGGAGACAGCCAGGCCUCCAGAGUUGUGACUGGGCCGGCCAAAGACCACUCAGAUUACACAGGAUACUUGUGGACUGACACUUACCUUGUCCCCAGAAUGUCACGCUCUGUUACUAAUCUUCACAGCAUUCUACGGUUUAGGCUCUUGGCUGCCACCCAAAUUUGCAGUUCCUUAAUAUGACUAAAACCACAUUUUCUGGAAAUGGAUAUGUUGGGCAGAGAAGAGUCAAGCUAGGGGAAGCAGCUGGGGACAGGAAAACAAUGAAGUUGCUACUCUACAGGUGAUGAGGAAAGACAUUCAGUCUGCUAACAAGAAGUGUGAUCGAGGCUGCACACUUUCCCACAGAGAUGUAUUUAAGACAUCUGUGUCCAAGCCAGUCUAGUCCCCAGGAAAAGGGGACUUGAAACAAGAUCUUGGUUUGGUGUUUGCGAUGUUUAUGAACACAACCUGAGCUGCGUUAGUAAGGCUCCUUAGGAAGGCAAUUUCUAGCCACAGGGAAGGCACGCCAACAACAUCUUUGUUUAUAAUUGUCCAAGCAAAGGAUAAAGGCACGAGAUAUUCUCCUAAGUGUCAAUUCAAUUCCAGAAGAAUGCCUCACCAUAGUGAAGUAACUAUUUAUCUUUAAGAUUGUUUGGAGGAUGUCGAGGGGAAAAUACUGUUGACUGAGCCAACAGUGGGAAGAAGAGAUAAGAGAGACUAUUGGCAAAACUCAGGCCAGGAUAUAAACGUGUGCCUGCUCACACCCAGACGUAUGAUGCUCUCCAUUAAUUUAGGGAUUUGCAAAGCAAAUGGGCCAGAUGUCAUCAAUAAUAAACUUGUAUGUUCUGGUCUGGUCUGCACUCACAGCCCCAGUAGGAAUGAAUACAUAUAAACAAAAUAUAACAGCACACA